AUCUUUGAAAAAUUCACUGCGGAAGCGUUCAUUUCAUUUCGGAUUGUCUUCUAGUAAAGAUGUACAACUUAUUUGCGCUUUAUAAAUUAUAUAAAUUUGAAGAUAGUAAAAGUGGGUAUGGUUGACUUACAAUGUAUUUUUUGACUAGGUCAUUGUUCCGAACAUGAAUUAUAUGAGGAGCUGAAAUUUGUGAACUAUCCAUAUUUUCCUAUCCACAAAGAUCUUGUUAACCACGUGGAAUUCAGUGUCUGAUAUAAGCAGUGCAUUAAAUGCCAAGGAAUUUACGAAUGGCUAUUUUGGUGUUGUACGCUGAGGGCAGUAAGGAAUACAAUUUAAGAGAUUAGGUACCCGUUACAACAACAAUUUAAGAGAAUAACGCACUAGAUACGGCAUUCCACGAGGUCUUUGUGGAAAUUAAAAACAAUGUAAUAUAGCAAAUA
rnacentral:lncRNA from 1 species